rnacentral:ncRNA from 2 species
CCAAUUAGCAGCGUUAUCGGUUCUCGAGGCCAGGACUGGCCUUGGGAUUAAAAGGGAACACGGUGAGGCGUACCCAGUAGGGACCAAAACCGUGGCUGCCCCCGCAACUGUAGGCGGAGAGCCGGAACCGACUAUGCCACUGGUGCUGCAAGCGCCGGGAAGGCCGGUUCAGGCAUAGACCCGCGAGCCAGGAGACCUGCCGCUGAUCGUCACGGCCU